rnacentral:lncRNA from 1 species
UUGAGCUAACCUAGACCGAUUGGCUUUGAUCUAAAGGGAUUGGGUCAAUUUGGAUUGGAUCCUCAUCUAACUUGAAAGAGUUUCAAAUGGAGAAGGAGUCCUCUGUGCCCACCAGAACCCACACACAAAAAUAAAUGCCGCCUCCCUUAUUUUGGUGUGUGAAGUAAAGAGUCCUUCUUAAAGAAGGCUCUUAACUGACACACGUUGCCUUAAUUCUUGAUCAGAAAUCCUAUGUUUUAUCUUCAAAAUUUAUUGAAUUUUUUAUGGCAUAUAGAAGACUAAGAGUUCUUCUGCUC